UACAACGCCGGGAAACUCACCAGAUAAGACAGCUGAAUGAUAGUCGGGCUGAAGACUCUACUUGACUAGCUGAGAGGAGGUGCAUGGCCGUCGUCAGUUCGUACUGUGAAGCAUCCUGUUAAGUCAGGCAACGAGCGAGACCCACGCCCAACAGUUGCCAGCUCGUCCUCCGGGAUGGUGGGGACACUGUUGGGACCGCCUCUGCUAAAGAGGAGGAAGGAAUGGGCAACGGUAGGUCAGCAUGCCCCGAAUUAUCUGGGCUACACGCGGGCUACAAUGGGUGGGACAAUGGGUAUCGACACCGAAAGGUGAAGGCAAUCUCCUAAACCCAUCCGUAGUUCGGAUUGUGGGCUGCAACUCGCCCACAUGAAGCUGGAAUCUGUAGUAAUCGUGUCUCAAAAUGGCACGGUGAAUAUGUCCCUGCUCCUU
rnacentral:rRNA from 1 species